GAUGAACGCUGGCGGCGUGCCUAAUACAUGCAAGUCGAGCGAACAGACGAUUAUCUUGCUCCUCUGACGUUAGCGUCUGACGUGUGAGUAACACGUGGAUAACCUACCUAUAUUACUUGUAUAACUUCGUGAAACCGGUGCUAAUACCGGAUAAUAUAUUUAACCGCAUUGUUCAAUAGUUAUAUACGGUUUUUCUGUCUCUUAUAGAUGUAUCCGCGCCGCAUUAGCUAGUUGGUAAGGUAACGGCUUACCAAGGCAACGAUGCGUAGCCGACCUGAGAGGGGGAUCGGAGACACGGGAACGGAGAAACGGAAAAGAAGAAGACGGGAGGAAGCAGUAGGGAAUCUGCCGAAAUGGGCGAAAGCAUGACGGAGCAAAGCCGCGUGAGUGAUGAAGGUAUUAGGAUCGUAAAACUCUGUUAUUAGGGAAGAAAAAAUGUGUAAGUAACAAUGCACGUAUUGACGGUAACUAAUCAGAAAGCAACGGCUAACUACGUG
rnacentral:rRNA from 1 species